rnacentral:lncRNA from 1 species
UUCACAAUUUGGAAGAAACCAAAUUCUUCACAAGCCUUUGAAAUCUUGUGAAUCACUUCCAAGGAUGAAGGGUUGUUGCCAUCACAAUAACUUAGAUCAAUUAUGGGAAUUGAGUCUAAAUAUUUAACCUCUGAAAGGUGUGGUCUUUUGUGUUCUGGGAGGAUAAAAUUAGGAGUUAAGGAAAGGGGAGAAGAUUCAUUGGCUAAUUGGAAAGACUCCAUCUUGUGUAAGAAAAUUUGAGAUUGAAGGAAAUUGAACAAACAAAAAAUAUAUAUGACAUGUAAUUAAACCUAUUCUUUUUUUAUUAACAGUGUGCACAUUUUUACUAACAGAUUAAUGAUUAAGUAUUAAGUAUUAAUAUUGUUAUUGAUUGAUUACUGGUCUUGAUUAAAUUACAUAUGCUAUUGACCAAAUUUAUAUAUCAUUUGCUUAUGAAAGAUUGUAUCAAUUAUAAUAAUGUUUAAAAAGUAUUUUUAUAAACAUAGUCAACGAGAAGAAAACAACUAGGUUAAGUAAAAUGCAAGACACAACCACCAGCCAACCAGAAUUGACCAGAAGGAAAGUAGACUUUUCACUCUUUCCAGUCUUAUUUAUUUAUUUAUUUUAUGUUUGUGAUAACUAAGUUAGUUAUUUAAAUUUGGUGGGAGGUUAAAAAAAGUUUCAAUGUAAAUAUAAAACGCAAUCGACCAUUAACAACUGAAUCUGCUAGUUAAAAAGGGUUCCCAAUUCUUGUAAUAUUCUAAUCAAGUUUUCAAUUCAACAGUUAUGCAAAUAGCUGCUACUCAAGCAUCCUAAUCAUGUUUGAGGUUGAUAACCCCUAUUAUUUUGAAAAGGAUUAUAAGCACAAACCAUUACUUUUAUCUAUUAAUUCAUCUCUUUCUUAAAGUGCAAGUAGGAGGUGAGGUGGCAUCAGGCACCAAUAUGACAGAAACACACAUGUCUAUUCUUAAUAAAUCCCUAAAAUGCAUAUGAAAGUUAUGUGAGCCAAGUUCAUUUUCUCAGUUUGAGAAUUUCCAAAUUACAAACAUAUAAUGUUGAUUGUCAAAUGAAAACCAAAGCAGCUACCAAAUAACAAGGCACAUUUAGAUAAAUGCAAUACACUAUUGUGAUCAUCACAGUAAUGGAGGAAGAAUCAAAACCGCACUAAUUUUCGAAAAGCAGUUUGUAACCAUCUGGAUUGUGAUUUGUGUUGUGAAUGUAUUCAUAUAUACUUCACACAUGUUCCAAAUGCAGACCACUAUUAACUGUUCAGCGUUAGCAAAAAUCAUUUGACUCUCCAUUCCAUAGCUAAAAUGUAAACUCCCAUCAACAUGAAAGCAAUAAGCCAAAACAACUAAAAUUUAUCUUCAAGGAGCAUCAAUUGCAAAGUAAAAAGACUAAAAUAAUUUGAAUAGACAUGUAUGUUUCUGUCAUAUUAAUCGUUUCCAAAAAAAGUAUCAGCUCAGUUUUUUUGUAGACUUAACGUCCAAAACUAAAGUCACGGGCCACAAUGACUAUCAGAUUUAUGUUUGAAUAGACAAAAUAAAGUUUGAGGCUAUUUUAUGUUUUCUCUUGAGCCAGAGACUAGUCUGGCAGAGAGGUACAUAUUAGCCAAAGAGUCGUCUGCCCUAUUUAUUUAUUUUCUAACGUGGCAACUCAAAGGUUUCUUUCACGAUCCUCCUUGUUCCUUUAUGGUUGAAGACUUCUUCAAGAAACUUAGAGAAACGAUAACUUCUGUACUUGGGAGGGUGUUCAUCAUCUAUUAAUUCAUGAAUUGGCUCAAUUAUUGUCUCUGGGUUUGGCCCGAAAAACAUUGCCAUCGACAUUCGUGGAUGCACAUUAUUUGUGGCAGCUCUGUGAAUUACACUUUUGUAUCUUCCAUUGCUUAGAACCUGCAUAUAAUGUUAAAAAAUUACAUUUCACACUUUCUAUUUGUUUCACGUUAUCUCUCAAAUUUCUAUAAAUUUUUACAGUUAUUUAAAUAGACCAGGGCUACUAAAUGAAUCAUCUGAGUUUAAGAACUGUGUACCAAAAGUGUUAAGCGAUUUAACAAUCAUCCAAUUAUAUUUUACACAGAUGUCAAUUUGCUAUUGUUUAAGAUAUUACCCAAAAGUGUAGAUGCGAAUGUGUUGAAAAAAUGUGAGUUUUUCUUUUGACAGUAACAAGCUUACUUCUUUUCCAACACAAAAUGUUUGAACUAGAGGAUAGGCUCAAAUCAAGGAUUUUGGGACUAGCUUAAAGCUUUGAUGCCCUUACAAGGGUAUGAGCAACAAAAUUUGAUUGUUGCCUAAAAAAACUAAUCCUAUAAUUUUGUGGGACUUGAUUAUAGAGUUGAACAUUAGAGAAAGUGUUGGUAUAUCUAGGAUUUAUGACUUGGUUGACCAAUGACACAUACCUCAAUUUGAUCAGCUAAAUUGAUGACAAAAGCAUUGGGAAUACAAGGAACAGAAAUCCAUUUUCCAUCUUUGUUAACUUGAAGACCAGAUACUUCUGAUUGCAAUAGGACUGUGAUAGCAUUGAGAUCAGUAUGUUCAAGCAGUCCCAUGGUCAAUUCUGGAUCAGGACAUGGUGGAUAGAAAUUUGCUUGUGCUCUUUGUCUAGGCUGCUCACCCAACUUCUUCAACAAACAGUCCUCCUCUAAGCCAAGCCCUAUUGAUAUCAAACUCAAAAGCCUUCUCACCAAUGAACCAACCUCCUUUGCAUAUUCGGUGAAAGCCUCUCUGUGAAAAGCAAAAGUAUUAGUGCGUGUUUGGUUAUGCGGUGCAAAAUUGAUUUUGAAUGAAUGUAUUUUAAUUGAUUCUAAUUAAAUAUGAGCUAAAUGUAAAAUGAUUUAUGUUUGGAUAUGUUUAUACAAAAUUGAGUGUUCUUUUUAAAGUAAAAUAUAGUUAUAAGCGAGUAGAACUAACAAAUUCAAUCUCUAAAAUCAAUUAUAGUGACUAACAAAUUCAAAGUGAGUGGAUACAUCUAAACACGUCAAAAUCAAUGGUAUACUUCUAUAAUCAAUUUUAGAUUCUUCAAAAAUAAAAUCAAGCGUAGACUAAAUAUACUAGCAUCAGAUCAACUAUUUCUAAAAAAUGUCCGUGACCGCGAACACCGUUGAGAUUGUGCCAACCACAUUUGAUUGUGAUUCUCCGCAAAAUCAAAGGAUGUGAUGCACUCUAUUGGUCACAUUGACAGCAUCUAGUUUAUCAUUUUGUUGAACUAAAUUUAUAAUUUUCCUCACCUGUAUUGAUUCCCAAUUUUUUCUGGUAAAAGCUGAAUGAUAUCAUCAAUAGGAUACCAUUGAUGAGCAAAACAUUCACUCCAUAACUUCACCUUUUCUUCACCUUCAACUUGAAGGUAAUAAUUGAUCAACCUUACAUUCUUGGUAGGAUCUGUUGAGGACAGAUGUUCUCUUUCUUCUGGUGGCAACUCAAAAAGACUUGAAAUUGCUUUCAUCAUUUUAGUGCAAACUUUGUUAGGGACACCAUGGUUCACAAUUUGGAAGAAACCAAAUUCCUCACAAGCCUUUGAAAUCUUGUGAACCACUUCCAUGGAUGAAGGGUUUUUGUCAUCAUAGUGACUUAAAUCAAUUAUUGGUAUUGAGUCUAAAAAAGUAACCUCUGAAAGGCGUGGUCUUUUGUGUUUUGGAAGGAUAAAAUCUUGAGUUAAGGAAAGUGGAGAAGACUCAUUGGCUAAUUGGAAAGACUUCAUCUUGUGUAGGAAAAUUUGGAGAUUGAAGGGAACUGAACAAACAAAGGGAAUAUUGUAUACUCACUAAAAAUUUACAUAUUAUUUGCAUAAGUAUAUAAUACUAAUUGCUCUAAAAAAAAAAAAGUAUAUAAUACUAAUUAUAUACUAAUUAUUUACACAAUAUGUAUAUUUUUACAUAUUAUUUGCAUAAGUAUAUAAUACUAAUUAUUUACACAAUCAACAAUUUACAACCAAAUCUACUAGUUCCUACAAAAAUUUAAACUGAAUCUAGUUAGAAAAAUUGAGAAUGAUAAUUAACACAUGGGAAUCUUUUGCUUCAGCGAUGAUAAUUAACGACGGGCAACGGUCAUCUAGACAAGUUAGCGUGUGGACGAUUAAAACGAAGGGUAAUAGUCAUCUUGAUUGGAAGGAGUAGCCACAAUAGUCUCUGAAUAUAUCAAAUUUUUAAAAUAUCCGUUAAUUAUUAUACAUUCUGUUAAUCAAAAUGAACAUUUGCAUUAAAAGGUUCGUUAAUAUCGUCAUAUCAGUCGUUCAAUAUCUCACUUAUUGUAGUUUCAAUACCUAUAAAUAUUUACUUUUUUUUGAGGGACAAUAAAUAUUUACUUAUUAUCAUAUCAUAUAAAAGAGAGUUAUUAUUUUGACUAACCAAUACAUAAGUAAAAAACUUUUAAAUUUUUUGAUAUAUUGAAGCUCAUCAAAUUGAUCACAGCGAAAAGGAGAUCUCUGCUCAACGUAUCCGGUCAAGGUACAACCCCGCAUACCUCCACUAGCCUUUUAAGCAAUCAUUUUUGUCAAAAAUAAGUCCCUGUUCAUCGAUAUACCUUUCAUAGGCGAUUGGGGCUCAACUGGAAAAUUGUUGUUCACACAUUAAAGAAAGUUAAAACAUACUAGGAAAAUUACUGAGCCAUUAAAUCGAUGAUUUUCUGGUGUUUCUUAGCUUUCCUUAGAGCGGGAACAACAAUUUUCCAACAUAUAUCAUCAAUUCAAUCCAAUAAUAGUAGAUAUAUUAUUAAAAAUCCAACAUAAUUUGGAUUUAAUUUCUAUACAAUCAUAGUGCAAAAUAAUUUUACAUAUAUAUUCAAGUAAUUUUAGAAAAUUUAUAACAUUUAAAUGGUUAGAUUUGUGUAAAACGUAUUUGCACCAUCAAUACAUACAAUUUAAAUUACAUUAUUUAAAUUAUAAUGUGGCAAGUCAAAGACUUAAUUCAACAUACUCUUUGUUCCGUGGCAGUAGAAUUCUUCAACGAAAUCAGAAAAGCGAUAAUUUCUAUACUUUUGAGGGUGUUCUUCAUCUAUCAAUUCCUGAAUAGGACCAAUUAUCGUGUCCGAGUUUGGCCCAUAAAACAUUGCCAUGGACAUUCGUGAAUGCACCUUGUUGGUUACAGCUCUGUGGAGUACACUUUUGUAUCUUCCAUUGCUUAGAACCUACAUAUAAAGUAUAAAAAUAAUUACAUUUCACACUUUUUGUUUUUGUUUCACGUUACCUCUCAAAUUUAUUAAAAGCUUAUAUUGUUAUUUAAAAGAUUAAAUAUAUUUUUGGUCCUUAUAAAUAUAUAAACUUUUUAUUUUAUUUAAAAAACUUCUUCAACUUUUCGACGUUAUAGAAGUUUUUGCUCCUAUGGCUAGAUGGGAUACAAUAAGAGCUAUGCUAGCUGUUGCAGCAUGCAAAGGAUGAAAUGUUUAUCAGCUAGAUGUUAAAAGUGUUUUUCUUCAUGCAGAGCUGGUUGAAGAUAUGUAUGUGGAGCUACCUUUAGGUUAUCAGAAUGAUGAUACAAGCGAGGUAUGCAAACUAAAGAAAGCUAUGUAUGGUAUGAGACGUACACUAAGACAUAAUCUUACUUUAUUCAAGAAAAAUUUAUGAAAUGCUCUCAUGAACACACCUUAUUUGUUAAGAAUGAAUCUGGAGGGAAACUGUUAAUUGUUAGCCGGUAUAUGGAUGAUCUCAUAUAUACUGAAAAUGAUGUUACUGUGUUUGAAACUUUCAAGCAUUCUAUAAAGGGAAAGUUUGCUAUGACAGAUUUGGGAAAUAUGAGAUAUUUUCUUGGAGUAGAAGUUAAGCAAGAUGAUCAAGGAAUUUUCAUCGGUCAAAGCAAGUAUGCUACUAAAAUAUUGACAAGGCUUGGUAUGGAAAAUUGCAAUAUGGUGUAUAGCCCUAUAGUCAUUGGUAGAAAACUAGUGAAGGAUGAAACUGAGAAGGCUGUGGAUGCAAUCAAGUAUAAGCAGAUGGUUGGAUGCUUGAUGUAAUUACUUGCUACAAGACAUGAUCUUACAUAUUCAGUCUGUCUAAUAUUGCUAGGUAAAUGGAAAGACCUACAUAUAAAUGCAUUUAUCAUCUGUAAAGAGAAUUUUAAGAUACUUGAAAGGAAUUGUCAAUUUUGAAGUUCUGUACAAAAGUAAAGAGAACGUUAGCUUGACUCGAUGGUCUGACUCAGAUAAUACAGGAGAUACAUAUGACAGAAAAGAGCACUUCAUGGUAUGUGUACAUGGUGGGAAAUGGAGCUAUAUCCUGGUCAUCUAUGAAGAAGCCAAUUGUGACUCUUUCUACUACUGAAGCUGAAUUUGUUGCAGCAGCUUCUUGCUCAUGUUAGGGCAUUUGGUUAAGAAGGAUAACGAGCCAUAUAGGAGAGGGUCAAGAGAUCGAGCACAGCUGUGUAUUGUGAUAAUAGUUCCUCUAUAAAGUUGUCUACGAACCCUGUGAUGCAUGUAAGAUGCAAGCACAUAGAUGUGAGAUUUCAUUUUCUUGAAGACUUGACUAAAGAUGGAGUAAUUGAAUUGAUGCACUACAGUUCACAAGAUCAAGUGACAUAUAUCAUGCUAAAGCCUUUGAAACUGAAAACUUUGUUGAAGGCUGGAAUGUCCAUUAGGGUUGAAAUUAAAUUUAUUUUAGGGACAGUUGUAUAAGGCCAUUAUUGCCACUAAAUAGUAAUAUAACAAAAAAUAUAUCAUUGAUUUAAUUUUCUAUCAAAACAUGUGAAAAUGUAUAGAAAAAACACACCAAAGGCACAUACCUCAAUUUGAUCAGCUAGAUUGAUGACAAAAGCAUUGGGAAUACAAGGAAUAGAAAUCCAUUUUCCAUCUUUGUUAACUUGAAGACCAGAAACUUCUGAUUGCAAUAGGACUGUGAGAGCAUUGAUAUCAGUAUGUUCAGUGAGACCCAUAGUCAACUCUGGAUUUGAACAUGGUGGAUAGAAAUUUGCCUGUGCUCUUUGUCUAGGUUGCUCACCCAACUUCUUCAACAAGAAAUCUUCCUCUAAGCCAAGCCCAAUUGAUAUCAAACUCAAAAGCCUUCUCACCAAUGAACUAAUCUCCUUUGCAUAUUCGGUGAAAGCCUCCCUAAGAAAAGCAUAAGUAUAAAUAUGUAUUUGGUUUUGCCGUUUUAUAUCAUUCCAAUUAUACCAUUAAACAUGAUUUUCUAUAAUAACAAUGUUAUUUGGUAUACUUAUAAUUUUAAUCAAAUUCAAAUUCAAAAUUUUAUUUAAAAUAUCGUUUAUAAUUCGUAUACGUUAGCGCAAUAAAAAAAACAAACGUGAUUUUUCUCACCUGUAUUGGGUCCCAAUAUUUUCUGGUAGAAGAGAAAUGAUAUCAUCCAUAGGAUACCAUGGAUGAACAAAAUUUUCACUCCACAACUUCACCGUUUCUCCACCAUCUACUCGAAGUAAAUAAUUGACCAAUCUUACAUUCUUGGUAUGAUCUGUUGAUGAAAGAUGUUUUCUUUCCUCUGGUGCCAACUCAAAGAAGUUUGUAAUUGCUUUCAUCAUUUUAGUGCAAACUUGGUCAGGAACACCAUGGUUCACAAUUUGGAAGAAACCAAAUUCCUCACAUGCCUUUGAAAUCUUGUGAACCACAUCCAAGUGACUUAAAUCAAUUAUUGGUAUAGAGUCUGAAAAAGUAACCUCUGAAAGGUGUGGUCUUUUGUGUUCUGGGAGGAUAAAAUCUGGAGUUAAGGAAACUGGAGAAGACUCAUUGGCAAAUUGGAAAGAUUUCAUCUUGUAAGAAAAUUUGAGAAUGAAGUUCAGUCA